GACAAAUACAAGACUGGAAAACUGAAGUGAAUUGGAUGAGCCAGAUCGCAAGACGGAGAGGUGGUGUUGCUGCAAUCACAAGUUGUGUAUUUGUGAUGUUGAGAAGGUGUUGUUGAUCCCAAUGCCAAAGAUGGGGAGAUAUUUGGUGGUGCAACAAGUACAGAAGAAACUCAAUUCGAUGCCUUAUUAUCUAUAGAAAUACAACAAGACAUAGAUCAAGAGG
rnacentral:misc_RNA from 1 species